GAUGAACGCUAGCGGCAGGCCUAAUACAUGCAAGUCGAACGAGAUUAAGAGGCUUGCUUUUUUUGAACGUGGGGCACGGGUGCGUAACGCGUAUGCAACCUACCUUAAUCAGGGGGAUAGCCCGAAGAAAUUCGGAUUAAGACCGCAUAAAAAAAAAGGUUAGCAUUAUCCAUUGUUCAAAUAUUUAUAGGUUUAAGAUGGGCAUGCGUGUCAUUAGCUAGUUGGCGGGGUAACGGCCCACCAAGGCGACGAUGACUAGGGGAUCUGAGAGGAUGACCCCCCACACUGGUACUGAGACACGGACCAGACUCCUACGGGAGGCAGCAGUAAGGAAUAUUGGUCAAUGGAGGGAACUCUGAACCAGCCAUGCCGCGUGCAGGAAGACAGCCCUCUGGGUCGUAAACUGCUUUUAUUCGGGAAUAAACCUUUCUACGUGUAGGAAGCUGAAUGUACCGAAGGAAUAAGGAUCGGCUAACUCCGUG
rnacentral:rRNA from 1 species